rnacentral:rRNA from 1 species
GGGUUGUGAGGUUAAGCGACUAAGCGUACACGGUGGAUGCCCUGGCAGUCAGAGGCGAUGAAGGGCGUGCUAAUCUGCGAUAAGCGCCGGUAAGGUGAUAUGAACCGUUAUAACCGGCGAUACCCGAAUGGGGAAACCCAGUGUGACUCGUCACACUAUCAUUAACUGAAUCCAUAGGUUAAUGAGGCGAACCGGGGGAACUGAAACAUCUAAGUACCCCGAGGAAAAGAAAUCAACCGAGAUUCCCCCAGUAGCGGCGAGCGAACGGGGAGGAGCCCAGAGCCUGAAUCAGCAUGUGUGUUAGUGGAAGCGUCUGGAAAGGCGCGCGAUACAGGGUGACAGCCCCGUACACAAAAGCGCAUGUGCUGUGAGCUCGAUGAGUAGGGCGGGACACGUGGUAUCCUGUCUGAAUAUGGGGGGACCAUCCUCCAAGGCUAAAUACUCCUGACUGACCGAUAGUGAACCAGUACCGUGAGGGAAAGGCGAAAAGAACCCCGGCGAGGGGAGUGAAAAAGAACCUGAAACCGUGUACGUACAAGCAGUGGGAGCACAGGUUUACCUGUGUGACUGCGUACCUUUUGUAUAAUGGGUCAGCGACUUAUAUUCUGUAGCAAGGUUAACCGAAUAGGGGAGCCGGAGGGAAACCGAGUCUUAAUUGGGCGUUAAGUUGCAGGGUAUAGACCCGAAACCCGGUGAUCUAGCCAUGGGCAGGUUGAAGGUUGGGUAACACUAACUGGAGGACCGAACCGACUAAUGUUGAAAAAUUAGCGGAUGACCUGUGGCUGGGGGUGAAAGGCCAAUCAAACCGGGAGAUAGCUGGUUCUCCCCGAAAGCUAUUUAGGUAGCGCCUCGUGAAUUCAUCUCCGGGGGUAGAGCACUGUUUCGGCUAGGGGGCCAUCCCGGCUUACCAACCCGAUGCAAACUGCGAAUACCGGAGAAUGUUAUCACGGGAGACACACGGCGGGUGCUAACGUCCGUCGUGAAGAGGGAAACAACCCAGACCGCCAGCUAAGGUCCCAAAGUCAUGGUUAAGUGGGAAACGAUGUGGGAAGGCCCAGACAGCCAGGAUGUUGGCUUAGAAGCAGCCAUCAUUUAAAGAAAGCGUAAUAGCUCACUGGUCGAGUCGGCCUGCGCGGAAGAUGUAACGGGGCUAAACCAUGCACCGAAGCUGCGGCAGCGACGCUUAUGCGUUGUUGGGUAGGGGAGCGUUCUGUAAGCCUGCGAAGGUGGCCUGUGAGGGUUGCUGGAGGUAUCAGAAGUGCGAAUGCUGACAUAAGUAACGAUAAAGCGGGUGAAAAGCCCGCUCGCCGGAAGACCAAGGGUUCCUGUCCAACGUUAAUCGGGGCAGGGUGAGUCGACCCCUAAGGCGAGGCCGAAAGGCGUAGUCGAUGGGAAACGGGUUAAUAUUCCCGUACUUGGUGUUACUGCGAAGGGGGGACGGAGAAGGCUAUGUUGGCCGGGCGACGGUU